AUAGUAUUUACAAAUUAUUUCUAAAUAGCAUUUAUAAAUUCCUUGCAAAGACUGAAAUACACUAAAUUAUCACUUUACAGCUCUGUGGAUAGGGCCUUCCAGAUUCUUUUCGUUUUAUGUACUGGUUGUUCCGAAGAAGUGUGAUUUAAACAAAGAAAGGACAGCUCAGUCUAUAAAGGUACUUGACACCAAGUGUGAUGACUUAAAAAGUUUGGUCCCUGGAAGCCACAUGGUGGGACCUUCCUUCCUCGGGCUUCCUGGUAGCUAAUACCUGAGGCAUGCUAUCCUGCCAUAUGCCAUUAGAUGAAAUUUGUACUCAUCAACAUAAAGUAAUUUUGUACGUGUA